AUCUAUUUUUAUUGGUUAAAACAGCGUCAGUCAUAAACGCGUCAAUAGCUUUAUUAUCAUUACCUCAGUUUUUAUGACGAUGUUUGUUUUGUUAAUUAAAGCAUUAAAGUAUAUUUACCAUUAAAUAGACCAAUUUAAAAAAAAAAAAUUGGUGUCUUGUAUGACGUAGUUUGAAGGCUUUUGCAUCCGGUUGGCAUUGCGCAUUCUAGCGUUUCCUACCGGUGUGUUGCCGUUUCUCAAUCGGAAGACUGCAACCUCCGGAGGUCGCCUAUGCAGACUGCAUACGUCUCCAAGCUGGUUUAUUUAAGAUAACUAAGCAUUGCAUAAAAAAAACUAAGCAUUGCGUUCCCAAUUCAUAAACAUUAUCCGCCCGGACCAAUAUGGCGGAGCCGAAGCAAUGAUCCAUCGGGCCGAAGCAAUGACCCAUCUAGUUCUUCACACUCCAGUCCAGUUGGUGGCGGUAAUGCACCAGAAGUUGUUUUGCCACCCGCCAUCAAACAUUACAAGAAGUAGAAGAAUGCGUGGUGUGGUGUGGUGUUUAAAAAGGCAAAGUUUACUUCGGCGCGGAAGGUGAUGAGCAGUGUGUGUGUGGUUUCAAAUGGACGCGUGGAUCCAGCUACACUGCGGUCAAACCAGCCGCGUUUUGAGAAAACACACCGUGCGUCUCAGUCAGUUUCCUAGCUCGUGAAUUAUAUCCUGUAAAUCGCUAACUCAGUUGGAUAUGAUUGUUGACGAUUUGGCUUGAUCUUGGAUUAUUUGGUUCUUCGAAGCUCAUCCUGAAGUGGAUGUCAUAGCAACAGUGCACUCUUUUGUAGCCCAGCUGACACCAAGCUGACUGAUCAUCCCACCACCGAUCCACCUGAUGCCCAUCCUCAUGCUGCCAAAUUGAUGACAGCCCAGUGAAAGCUGACCGCUUCCUUGAGCACUUGCAGCGAUGCUGAAUUAAACAGUAUUAUUGCAGCUGUAACGUGUCAGAUGAGAAUUGGCCCUCCUCCCAGCUAAGCCUGUUUUUUUCUGUCUCCAUGGAGUUUUUUAAAUGCUUUCGCCCUGCUGGCUUGUUUUCUGGGAGAGUGCUGACAUUAGCUCAACCUAGGACUGUCUUUAGUACAUUAAGGACAUAUGCUGGUCAUAUAAUUAGAAUAUCAUCAAAGAGUUGAUUUAUUUCACUAAUUUCAUUCAAAAAGUGAAACUUGUAUAUUAUAUUCAUUCGGUACACAUAGACUGAUAUAUUUCAAAUGUUUAUUUCUUUUAAUUUUGAUGAUUAUAACUGACAACUAAGGAAAAUCUCAAAUUCAGUAAAUUAGAAUAUUGUGAAAAGGUUCAAUAUUGAAGACACCUGGUGCCACACUCUAAUCAGCUAAUUAACUCAAAACACCUGCAAAUGCCUUUAAAUGGUCUCUCAGUCUAGUUACACAAUCAUGGGAAAGACUGCUGACUUGACCGUUGUCCAAAAGACGACCAUUGACACCUUGCACAAGGAGGGCAAGACACAAAAUGUAAUUGCAAAAGAGGUUGGCUGUUCACAGAGCUCUGUGUCCAAGCACAUUAAUAGAGAGACGAAGGGAAGGAAAAGAUGUGGUAGAAAAAAGUGUACAAGCAACAGGGAUAACCGCACCCUGGAGAGGAUUGUGAAACAAAACCCGUUCAAAAAUGUGGGGGAGAUUCACAAAGAGUGGGCUGCAGCUGGAGUCAGUGCUUCAAGAACAACUACGCACAGACGUAUGCAAGACCUGGGUUUCAGCUGUGUUUCAUGCAACUCUUGAACAACAGAUGGCAUCAGAAGCGUCUCACCUGGGCUAAAGACAAAAAGGACUGGACUACUGCUGAGUGCUAAGUUAUGUUGUCUGAUGGAAGUACAUUUUUAAUUUCCUUUGGAAAUCAGGAUCCUAGAGUCCGGAGGAAGAGAGGAGAGACACCCAAUCCACGUUGCUUGAGGUCCAGUGUAAAGUUUCCACAGUCAGUGAUGGUUUGGGGUGCCAUGUCAUCUGCUGGUGUUGGUCCACUGUGUUCAACAAAGCCGUAUACCAGAAAAUUUGAGUACUUCCUGCUGUUGACAAACUUUAUGGAGAUGCAGAUUUCAUUUUCCAACAUGAGCCAUACCCAACAAUGCAGAAGAGCUGAAGGCCACUAUUGGAGCAACCUGGCUCUCAUCUUCUUCUUCUUCUUCUUCCUUUUAAUGGCGGGUGGCACCAACUUUAAGGUGCAUUAUCGCCAGUUACUGUAUUGGAAUGUGGAUCAGAGUUUCCCCAUUUUGUUAACAUUAUAAAUAUGUUUUCACUCACUAAUGUUUCCUUAUCAGCCCUGUUGUCUUGAGGAAAAUAAAUAAACUUUCUAAUUCAUCAUUAACUGCUUAUGUCUGAUUUGUAUUGGCAUUUUAUCCACUUCAACCUGAAGAGCAGCUACAGGAGUCGUUUUAAAAGCACCACAACAGAGUCUCAAAGCCUGAGCUUAUGUCACACAACCAGCUUUUUCAAUAAUGUUUUUGCUGCUGAACCAUAAACAAAACAUCCAUAAUCUAUAACUGAUCUAAUCAGUCUUAUAUAAAUAUUUUUUCAUUGCAGUUCCACUUGCUCCCCAUUCCAAUCCUCUUAGAUAUCUCAUCACAUUUAAAAUAAUUUUACAUUUAGUUUCUAUCCUUUGAAUAUGUUCCUUCCAUGAUAAUUUAACAUCAGACCAAGCACCCCAAAACUUAAACUUUUUAACUUGUUCAAUAGUUUGUCCAUACAUCUUUAUCUGUGUAUCAAUACCUCUUUUACUAAACACUUAUGAUUUUGUUUUAUCAACUGAAAACCUGAAUCCCCAUGAAUAUGACAAUUUUUCUACUACUUCAACUUGUAUUUUCCUUGUGAUAUGCUUUAUAUUCUUUCCCCUUUUUCACAAUGCUCCAUCGUCAGCAAACAAUGAUCUCCCAAUGUCUCCUUGUGCUUGAGAAAAUACAUUAUUAUAAUUGUAAAGAGUAUUGGGCUAAUGAUGCUCCGCCAAAUAUUUUCCAGAUGAUGCUUUCUCGAUUCUAACUUGAAUAAAUCUAUUUAUAUAAAAAAAAAAUCUUGAAUAUAAUUAUACAUUCUACCUGUUAUUCCUAUCAUAUUUAGUUUAAUCAUUAAACCUUCUUUCCAAAUCAUUUCACUUGACUUAUUGAUAAAAUUCCCUUAUCCUCACCAGCCAGAACAAUUUUAAAUUUCAAACCUUGAUCACUCUCCUCCACCCCUCUUUCAAAACUUUGAUUACUACUGGAUUUCUUUGCACUAAUCCUUUCAAAAUUAUUUCAUCUUUUUUUCCUCACCGUUGCACUUCUUUGGCUUGUUUCCAUACUACCAUUCCUAUCCACUUUAUCAUAUGCUCUCCAUUCUGGUCCAUUCACAACACAGCUGUGCUUACCCACCAUCACUUUCUUCUUAUCAUUUGAUUUUCCCAUUCUUGUUAAUUCUCCUCGUUUCCAACCUCCAGUUGAUAGACAUGCUUUUCUUCCAGGAUCCAAAUUUCCAUGUUCUUUUAAAUUGACAGUUUUAACCAUACAAGUUUGUUGCCGUGUCCUCCUGUGAGUUUCUCACCAGAAGUCCUACCGACCACUCGACUACCCCACCUGAGCAGUGCCACGCCGCAUUGCUACAGUAAUUCAGGCAAAAUGAGCCCCAACUAAGAAUUGAGUGCUGUACAUGCUCAUACUUUUCAUUUUCGUACUUUUUAGUUGGUCAAGAUUUCUAAAAAUCCUUUCUUUGCAUUGGUCUUAAGUAAUAUUAUAAUGUUCUGAGAUUUCUGAAUU